GUUUCUGUGGCCUAAUGGAUAAGGCGUUGGACUCCGGAUCCAAAGAAUGUGGUUGACGUCCCACUAGAAACA